rnacentral:rRNA from 1 species
AUUGAACGCUGGCGGCAUGCCUUACACAUGCAAGUCGAACGGCAGCACGGGUGCUUGCACCUGGUGGCGAGUGGCGAACGGGUGAGUAAUACAUCGGAACGUACCUUAUCGUGGGGGAUAACGCAGCGAAAGCUGUGCUAAUACCGCAUACGCCCUGAGGGGGAAAGCGGGGGAUCGAAAGACCUCGCGCGAUUAGAGCGGCCGAUGCCUGAUUAGCUUGUUGGUGGGGUAAAAGCCCACCAAGGCGACGAUCAGUAGCUGGUCUGAGAGGACGAUCAGCCACACUGGGACUGAGACACGGCCCAGACUCCGACGGGAGGCAGCAGUGGGGAAUUUUGGACAAUGGGGGCAACCCUGAUCCAGCAAUGCCGCGUGAGUGAAGAAGGCCUUCGGGUUGUAAAGCUCUUUUGUCAGGGAAGAAACACCGGCUCUAACACAGUCCGGGAAUGACGGUACCUGAAGAAUAAGCACCGGCUAACUACGUGCCAGCCGCCGUAACAC